UACGAACUGCGGGAACGUUAUUCGGAUUCACUGGGCUUAAAGGGUGCGUAGGCGGCUUGUUAAGUAGGACGUGAAAUCUUGCAGCUCAACUGUGAGAGUGCGUUCUAAACUGGCAGGCUGGAGUGAGUCAGGGGUGUGCGGAACUGCCAGUGGAGCGGUGAAAUGUGUUGAUAUUGGCAGGAACGCCUGUGGCGAAAGCGGCACACUGGGGCUUAACUGACGCUGAGGCACGAAAGCCAGGGGGGCAAACGGG
rnacentral:rRNA from 1 species